rnacentral:rRNA from 1 species
UUGUGGUUAAAAAGCUCGUAGUUGGAUCUCAACAGCCUUGAAGCGGUUAACUUUGUAGUUUUACUGCUUUAUAGGCUGUGCUUCUGCUGGAGGUUUAGGGGUGCUCUUGAUCGAGUGUCUCUGGAUGCCAGCAGGUUUACUUUGAAAAAAUUAGAGUGCUCAAAGCAGGCUAAAAUGCCUGAAUAUUCGUGCAUGGAAUAAUAGAAUAGGAUGUCGAUCCUAUUUUGUUGGUUUUCGGGACUCGACAUAAUGAUAAAUAGGGACAGUCGGGGGCAUUUGUAUUCAAACGACAGAGGUGAAAUUCUUGGACCGUUUGAAGACAAACUACUGCGAAAGCAUCUGCCAAGAAUGUUUUCAUUAAUCAAGAACGAAAGUUAGAGGUUCGAAGGCGAUUAGAUACCGCCCUAGUUCUAACCAUAAACGAUGCCAGCUAGCGAUCUGCCUGCGUUUUUACUGUAGACUGGGCAGGAAGCUUCCGGGAAACCAAAGCAUUUGGGUUCCAGGGGAAGUAUGGUUGCAAAGCUGAAACUUAAAGGAAUUGACGGAAGGGCACC